GCCAGCAUUUAGUUGGGCACUCUAAGGUGACUGCCGGUGACAAACCGGAGGAAGGUGGGGAUGACGUCAAAUCAUCAUGCCCCUUAUGACCUGGGCUACACACGUGCUACAAUGGACAGAACAAAGGGCUGCGAGACCGCAAGGUUUAGCCAAUCCCAUAAAUCUGUUCUCAGUUCGGAUCGCAGUCUGCAACUCGACUGCGUGAAGCUGGAAUCGCUAGUAAUCGCGGAUCAGCAUGCCGCGGUGAAUACGUUCCCGGGCCUUGUACACACCGCCCGUCACACCACGAGAGUUUGUAACACCCGAAGUCGGUGAGGUAACCUUUAUGGAGCCAGCCGCCGAAGGUGGGACAGAUGAUUGGGGUGAAGUCGUAACAAGGUAGCCGUAUCGGAAGGUGCGGCUGGAUCACCUCCUUUCUAAGGA
rnacentral:rRNA from 1 species